ACGAACGCUGGCGGCGUGCUUAACACAUGCAAGUCGAACGGUGAAGCGCCUUCCUUUUUGGUGGGUGUGGAUGAGUGGCGAACGGGUGAGUAACACGUGAGUAGCCUGCCCCCUUCUUCUGGAUAACCGCAUGAAAGUGUGGCUAAUACGGGAUAUUCUGGGUCUGUCGCAUGAUGGGUCUGGGAAAGAUAUUGUUUCGGUGGGGGAUGGGCUCGCGGCCUAUCAGCUUGUUGGUGGGGUGAUGGCCUACCAAGGCGGUGACGGGUAGCCGGCCUGAGAGGGUGGACGGUCACACUGGGACUGAGACACGGCCCAGACUCCUACGGGAGGCAGCAGUGGGGAAUAUUGCACAAUGGGCGCAAGCCUGAUGCAGCGACGCCGCGUGAGGGAUGGAGGCCUUCGGGUUGUGAACCUCUUUCGCCAGUGAAGCAGGCCUGCCUCGUUUGUGGGUGGGUUGACGGUAGCUGGAUAAGAAGCGCCGGCUAACUACGUG
rnacentral:rRNA from 1 species